GUUGGCUGAGGCGUUAAGAAGUCUGGCUGAGAAGUUAAGACAUCACUGUAACAAGAGGAUUACAGUGCCUAGCCUUAUGCAUAGAUCAAAGACUGCUUCAGGAGACACUACUAAGAUGUGAUAUCAACAUAUAAUUAGUUACCCUAUAGAGCUGGGUUAUUUUCACAAUUUCCUCGAAUAGUGAUAUAGUGCUGUAAAUUACUCGGACUCCUUGUUUGACCCUUGUACUACAGGUCUAGAGAGAGUCUUUAACAUAAGAUUAACAGAAAGGAAACAUAUAGGUAAGCGAAAAUAGUCUCCUUUCUUUGUGAGUAUUCUAC